ensembl:lncRNA LINC00359 long intergenic non-protein coding RNA 359
GGGGAAGUGGAGGAACUGGAGGACUUUGCUUCCGUUUUCGAUUUUGCAGCCCAACCGCUGCAUAACCGGCUGCGAGAAGUGGAGGGCCUGGAGGACUUUUAAGCAUAGUCCUGCCCCUUGAAGUGUCACAGUAAGAUGUCAUAUAAUCAGGGAUAAAAAAAGGAAUGGAUUGGGGCCCCUGCUCCACUUACUGUAUAUACUUGGAAAAAGAAGAAAAUCAGAAGACAUUUCUUCUUACAGCUAGAAAGCGGGAAAAGAGCAAAUCAUCCAACUGCCUUAUCUCCACUGAUCCAACUGAUUUAUCUCGUGAAGGAGAAAGCUCAAGAAGGAAGGAGAAUUUGAGGAAGGCUGAACUCAGAGAAGAGAGGUGAUAAAAUAGAGAGAAAGGUCUCUGGAGAGAUCAGCUACACCGUAGCCAGCUGGGACCUGUGGAGGACGAAGAUCAUUAUGAUAUUCCCUGCAGCAGGAAGCAGCAAAUGAACUGUCAGGCCAGUGAGGUCUGACACCCAAUUAUAAGUUGUCAAAUAUAUACACAGCGUCUUUCCAUCAUACCUACAUUUGUUAACGUUAUUUUUAUUUACCUUCUGUUUUGUGUCCAGCACUGAUAUUGUGCUAAAUCCUUCAGACAAAGUUUGGUGCUUUCAUGACCUGACUAUGUGUUUGCAGUAAGUGUUUGGAGAAAUGAGGGAGAUGAGAGAAGAAGUGCUGUGUAUGUUCACAUUUUGGGGCACAGCAGUCCCCAGAUCAGCUGGGGAAGCAAGGUGAGCUAGUGACAAGUUGGCCAGAAAGUAUAGAUGAGCAGCAAGAAACAGGAGUGGAGAGAGACAGGGUGAACCGGGGGGUGGGAGAGAGAGCUGGAAGUCUUAAGAUUAAGCCAAGAAGUGUGGCAAUAAGAUGUUGUCACUCUGAGAUGGCAGGGAGAGUUAGUCAUCAUAUUAUGCCAUAUUAGAUAUUUAUAAUUGCUUGAGAGUCAUACCUAUGGAUGUAAUCUCUGCUAUGCACCAACUAGCCAUGAGAAUUGUGGGCAAGCUAUUUCAUGUCCCAGAGCUUCCUCAAUUUCUUACUCUGUAAGUUUCUCCUUUGUUCUUAUUUGCUUCAUGGCACUGGUUGACCCCAUCUGUUCCUGCUCACACACAGCCAAUGGAUCCACAACACACAACUGCAUGGGCCCAGAGGUGGCGGGCUUCACUCUCAAUCACUAAUUUCCAAAUAGAUCUGGAAAAAGAAGUUGAUGAAGGGAGCUAGGUGAACUCAUGGUAGUUCCUAAGAAUCCCCUUUCCUUGAAUGCUCAGACUGAUCCUGUUUUACAGACCUUUCAUGGCCCCAGUAUCUUGGCACCAUUUGUUAUGCAAAAGUUUAUCUAGGGCAGAUGGGAUGUCUCCAAAUCUUCCAUUUGCCUGGCGAGCCUAAGACAGUGUUCUUGAUGUGCUUUUGCUGCCUGCCCUGCUCAGCUUGGCGUUGCCUGGUGGUGGUCACUGUGCCUGUGCAAUCCCUCCAUUUCCUAAUGUCAGGCUCAAUGCAGGGAUGUGGGCUGAAUCACAAUUGAGGGGCGCACUGAGAGCUGAGGGAGCACAGAAAGGUUGAGAAUCAAUGAGCAAAUGACCGAGUCCUUGAGGAGUUUAAAUAUAUCUGAAAUCUUGGAGCAAUACAGCCAGUCCCUGCAAACAGGGUUAAAUUUCAAACUUAAGCAUUAUAACACAUGUCUAUGAAGUUUCUGUUUUGCAAUGCUUAAAACUCCCGUUGACACUAUGGGGCUGAGAAAAGGCCCAUUUUUACUUAAAGCAAUAAGUGUGUCAUUCACCAAGGCAACGCUACCUUUCCCAUGAUAAAUGGAACUGAAGCUGUUUUUGGGCUGCUACCAAAAAUAUGCUGAGGAACAUCUAUCACAUAAACGAGAUUCCUUAAUUGUUUAGCAUAAAGAUUUUCCAGCAUUCUAAAUAAAUUGAUUCCUCCUAGUUUAAACAAGAAAA